UCUGCUUAAUAUUCAAGGACUCUGGGUGAUUAAAAUAAAUUAUGGGAGGUCAAAAAUUAGAUGUCAACAGUAGGAAGAUCAUAGGGUUGGAUGGAUGUUUUCUGAAGGGUGUUUGUAAAGGAGAAUUGUUAGUGGCUGUUGGAACAAAAAGGAAACCAACAAAUGUAUCUAAUAGCUUGGGCAAUGGUUGACCAAGAAACUAAACACUCUUGGAGUUGGUUCUUAAACCAUCUCAUUCAAGAUUUGCAGCUUGGUGAUGGAGAUGGAAUAACAAUAAUGUUUGACAUGUAGAAGGUAUGAUUUCUUACUGUUUUACCAGUUCUUUUCAUUUUUUUGGGAAUUGUUUUGUCCAAUUUUUUGAAACUGUGAGGUCCUAUUUUUUUUUAGUGUUGUCCACUGUUUUCAGCUCCCCCACACUUGCCAAAACCAGUUGUUCUUCUUUCAAUAUUUCUCUAAAUUCAUUAGUUGGAAUUAUUCAAAUCAAUGAAAUUUAUGAUUCUUUUUGUUUUCUUGACGUUCUUGCAGUUUUGGUAUACAUGUAGUGCAUCAUUUUCAUUUGGCUAGGAAAUCAUUAGCUAGUUCUUGCACUAAUUAUGGCUUGGGUGUAGGAAUAAAUUGCUUAUUGAACAUGGAUUAUGAAAUUGUUUCUUAUUUUUCUAUGUGGGGUUGUUCUUGUAUUAUGUUAUGUAGUGUUUAAUGUCUUUAGGCUACUGUUGAAUGUAUACAUUUUUUUCAUUUGGUAUUCAGUUGUACUUCAUGUUAUUAAGUAAAGAUUUGACCUUUUGAGGUAAAUCACUAAGAUUUUAGUUUUCUUAGGCAUUUUCUUGCACUAGUUAUGUCCUGUUACUUGGUUUAUUGAAUGUGGAUUAGGAUAUUGUGGGGUUAUUCUUGUAUUAUGCUAGGUGGUGUUUAAUGCCUAUUGGAUGCUGUUGAAUGUAUGCAUCUUUUGAUUUGGUGUGUUUUCUCACUUCAUGCUUCUAAGAAAAAGAUUUGGGCUUUUGAGGUAAAUCACUGAAAUUUUAGUUUCCUUAGGCAUUUUCUUGCACUACUUAUGAUUUGGGUCUUUGACACUGAUUAUUUGUUUCUAUUGCGGUCUUCAAUCACCUGUUCAGGAGUUACUUCCUAAUGCGGAAAGGAGAAUGUGUGCAAGACAUAUUUGGGCAAACUGACAAAAGGAAUGGAGAGGUGAAGCAAAGAGAAGAGCCUUUUGGAGGUGUGCCAAGGCUAGUUUUGAGGUAAAUUGGCAGAGGAGUUUAAACAUUUGAGUCAACUUGGUAAAAACAUAUGUGAGUCAUUGCUUAUCUAUAACAAAGAAUAUUGGUGUAGGUCUUUGUUUAGUGAAAGAACCAAAUGUGAUGUGCUAGAAAAUAACACGUGUGAAACAUUUAAUUCUUGUAUUGUUGCUCCUAGCCACAAAGCUAUGAUUAGUAUACUUUAAGAUAUUAGACAUAAAAUGAUGGAUAGGCAUGAAGGUAUGAUCAAGUUUGCUAAUACUUGGAUCACUGACAUUUCACCCACGGCAAGGCUAGUUUUAGAAGAAAACAAAGAUAUAGGUAGGAAGCUAAAGGUAAAUUGGAACCAUGAAAGUGGUCUCAGGAAGGGCAAAUAGGCACAUAGUUGAUAUGGAUAGGAAGACAUGUAGUUGCAGGUUGUGGCUGUUGAGGGGUAUCCCUUGCCAGCAUGUAGUUUGUGCCUUGUACUAUAUUAGAGAAGAACCAGAAAAUUAUGUGGAGAAUGGUAUAGAAGGGAAACAUUUCUUAAAGCUUAUAAGUACUUCUUACAGCCAAUCCCUAAUAUGAUAAUGUGACCUCAAACAAAUAACCCAAUAGUGGAGCCCCCUGAAGUGAAGCCAAUGCCUAGGAGACCCCCAAGAAGUAGAAGAAAAGACAAGGAUGAACCAAGGAAAAAGAAAUGGGGAAAAGCAUAAAAAAAUGGAGUCAAGAUGACAUGUUCCAAAUGCCAUCAAGUUGGCCACAACAAAAAGGGUUGCAAAUCAAGGCCUUCUCAACAGCCCACUCAACAACCAUUAACAUCAAGGCCAACAACUCAGCCAAGCACUCAACAUUCCUCUUCUUUAUGUCCAGAAACUUCAAGAGUUAGAGGAAGUAGAAAGAAGGCAGCAGAUGGUUCUUCAAGUUCAAGGGUAACAGAUGAUUCUUCAAGUGGAAGAAAAAGAACAAGAGAUGUGGGAUUUGGUGUUUACACAGAUACACAAUCUGGAAGACAAGUGAUGAAUGGAUGUAUAUCUAUUAGCUAAUUUUCUUACAUAUGUAUAAUGUGAAGUGUAUAAUGUUUAUGAAUUUUGCAGCAUGGGAGACCAAGUGAAAGAGUUAUCUCAAGUGGGGCAGCAUUAAAUGAUACAUCACUAACAAAUAUUGAUCUUGGAUUCAAGCCACCUGGAUUGAGGUGGAAAAAUAAAGAUGCCAUCACUGGGAACCAACUUGAAGUAAUGCAGCAGUAGAAGUUGCAAAUCAGAUCCAAAGCUAAGAGUUGGGUGCCAUAAGAAUUCAAGUUCAAGUUCAUUUUGUGUAUUUUUUGUAAAUCCCAAGUUCAACAAUGCUUCUGGCAUUUAGACUUGCCUUUGAACUAUUUAACAGUUGCUCUUUUUGAUGUAUGCUUGGGUUAUUUUGAUGUAUUUUGCAUUUAGGCUACUUUCUUGGUGUUGGCUAGCCUUUUGGAUAUUUUGAUGUUUUGUGAAGCUUUUUGGCUAUUUAAUAGUGUUUGGUGAAGCCUAGAUUGGCAUAUUUAUCAAGAUAAUUUUAUGACUACUUUUAUUGAA